rnacentral:rRNA from 1 species
AUGUCUUCCUCCACCUCCUCCUUCCAGCCAACCCUCAGCGGAGGAGUCACGGAGAAACUUUCCCGCACCAACUACAUCCUGUGGCGAACUCAGAUCACGCCGCAGCUGCGGGGCGCCGGUGUCUACCACUACGUCGACGGCACGUCGACCGAGCAAGCCAAAACCCACGUCACCAAAGAUGCCGCUGGGAAAGAAACUACGGGGCCGAACCCUCUUCAUCCGCUCUGGGUGAAGGAGGAUCAACAAGUCCUUGGAUAG